rnacentral:lncRNA from 1 species
CAGGCCGGCAUGGCAAGCAUGGGGCUGCCUGCCCUACCCAGCAGGCAACAGCUCCCCAGGUCUCAGCUCAGUGUGGCUUGAUCCCAUGGGGGGAUCUGCCCCCUUGUGCAGGAAGGGAUGCCCUAUUUCCCCUGAGCACGUGGUCCCAGGGGAAGGCUGGCUGCCAAGGGCUGGCUGGUUGCGCACAGGUUGCUUUGGAUCCAAAUCAAGGCAAAGUUAAGCAUUUAAUUUCCACUGCAGGGAAGCAGCUCAGCAAUCAGAGAAAAUUGAAUCAGGGUCCCCAGAGAUUGCCAGGUCUGGUCAGCAAACGUUCCAAUUAAGAAAUACAGCAAGUCACCUCCUAGCAGGAGCAAGCACAGGAGAGCACCAGGCUCAGCCUGCCUGCAGAGCCCCCCAUGCCAUCCCAAACCCCACCAAAGCCAAGGGUGCCAUGGCCAGCCGGACCUGCACCAGGGGCAAGACGGAGCUCCCUGGCUGCUGGAUCCCCUUCUUCACCACCAGCACCAGGAAGCCUGGGGACAGGCAAGUCCCCCCAGAGCUGGGGGGUGUGUGGAUGGGUGCUGGACACAGCUCAGCACAAGGACAUGCCUCCACAGCGCAUUCAGCCCCCAAGGAAGCGACCCCAAUACAGAUCCUCUGCAUGGAUGUGCUGGCUGUGCCCAGCUCCCGGCCUGCUCCCCAGAGGGGCAAACCCUGCUGCCUUGGACCCCGGAGCCCACUGGGCCCCUCUUAAUCCUCCUGCUCCAGGCUUUCCCAGGCUUAGAAAAACCUUUAAAUCAGGGCUUGGCAGCCGCCAUGUGCUGCUCAUUAGCUCUGGCAGGAGCACACCGGUGCUGAGCCACACCAUCUGCUUUGUGCCCAGACCCACUGCAGGUUGGGGACGAGGGACUUGCUGCCUGCACAGGGACCUGGUACCCGGGGACACCCAACCCAAGGCAGCAGGCAGAGACAAGCAGAGCCCGAGGGAAGCAUGGGAUCAUGCUCUACCCAGCCUAGAGGUGAGCAGGAGCAAAACAAGUUUGGGAUCUCCCUGGACUCCUCCUUCAUCUCCAUACGCAGCUGGCAAUGCCAUCAGCUCUGUGCUGGACCUGCCCGAGAGAAGAGGCUGGGAAACACCACGAGGAUGCUUGCAAACAACACACCAGGACAGUCACCCACCAAGGGGUGCAAG